rnacentral:rRNA from 1 species
UACGUAGGGUGCAAGCGUUGUCCGGAAUUAUUGGGCGUAAAGAGCUCGUAGGCGGUUCGUCGCGUCGGCUGUGAAAACCCGGAGCUCAACUCCGGGCCUGCAGUCGAUACGGGCGGACUAGAGUUCGGCAGGGGAGACUGGAAUUCCUGGCGUAGCGGUGAAAUGCGCAGAUAUCAGGAGGAACACCGGUGGCGAAGGCGGGUCUCUGGGCCGAUACUGACGCUGAGGAGCGAAAGCGUGGGGAGCAAACAGG